UACAGCCUUGUCAAAUUGCAGUGCUCGCCUCCUCUGUGGUAGGCGCUGGCCCAGCCGGCUGCCACAGCAUCACUGCAGCUCAUGGGUCCCAUGCCCUGCCUGGUGGAUCUGGGGGUCAGAUCCUGCUGCGAACAUGC
rfam:Alligator mississippiensis ScZkoYb_636, whole genome shotgun sequence.